rnacentral:rRNA from 2 species
UCUUUUAAUUGGAGGCUUGUAUGAAUGGUUGGACGUAAUAUUAACUGUCUCAAUUUAAAAUUUAAAAUUUUAUUUUUUAGUAAAAAAGCUAAAAUUUUAUUAAAAGACGAGAAGACCUUAUAGAUCUUUAUAUUUUUAAUUAUUAUUUUUAUAAAGAAUAAUUUAAAAUUAAUAAUUUAUAGUAUUUUAUUGGGGUGAUAAUAAAAUUUAAUAAACUUUUAUAUUUUAUAACAUUAAUUAUUGACUGAUUGAUCCAUUAUUAGUGAUUAUUAGAUUAAGUUACCUUAGGGAUAACAGCGUAAUUUAAUUAGAGAGUUCAUAUCGAUAAUUAAGAUUGC